UAACACGUAGGGGGCCAGCGUUGUCCGGAAUUACUGGGCGUAAAGAGCGCGUAGGCUGUUUGGUAAGCGGAGGGUGAAAUUCCGGGGCUCAACCCCGGAGCUGCUCUCCGAACUGCCAGACUAGAGUUUGGGAGAGGGUAGUGGAAUUCCUGGUGUAGCGGUGGAAUGCGUAAAUAUCAGGAAGAACACCUGUGGCGAAGGCUGCUACCUGGAACAAUACUGACGCUGAGGCGCGAAAGCUAGGGGAGCGAACGGG
rnacentral:rRNA from 1 species